UCUAGCUGACAGUAACAGCGUUUCCAUAAACUUGGUUUAGUGACAGACGUUUCUUGUAAAGUUGCCAGGUAGAAUGAAUACGUUAUUAUUCAUAAUGUUGACUGGUGCGGCAAUUAUUGCUGUCACUGUACAAGGUCUAGAAUUCGAUCCUACUCCUGUAGACCCCCCUGUUGCACUCCCUUUUGCCGAGAAGGAUCGGGAUUCAGAGGAUUACCCCAUAACUAUGGAUGAACAUGCUAGAGCAGAGAAACGUGAUAGAUAUUAUGAUAGAUAUUAUGAUAGAUAUUAUUCGGGAAACAGAAACUGUGAAGAAACCAAACAAAAAUUGAGGUUUCUGGCCUAUGAUCUAGCUGACUUGUCUGAGGCUAUAUCUGCUUUAGCUGAAAAAAGAGAAGGCAGACGUUAUCCCUUUACUAAGCCUUAUUACCAUGGUAACACCGAAGAGAGGCCUUAUCCCUUUUUAUCUCAAAACGAGAGGCCUUAUCCCUUUGGAUCUCAAAACGAGAGGCCUUAUCCCUUUGGAUCUCAAAACGAGAGGCCUUAUCCCUUUGUAUCUCAAAACGAGAGGCCUUAUCCCUUUGGAUCUCAAAACGAGAGGCCUUAUCCCUUUGUAUCUCAAAACGAGAGGCCUUAUCCCUUUGGAUCUCAAAACGAGAGGCCUUAUCCCUUUGUAUCUCAAAACGAGAGGCCUUAUCCCUUUGGAUCUCAAAACGAGAGGCCUUAUCUCUUUGAAAAUCAAAACUCAUACCCAAAAUGGUGGUAGUUAACUUCUCAACAAAAGACGACAUAUUUGAAAACAUUUCAG